GAGCAGAGCCGGGGCUGGCGGGGGCAGCGCGGCGCGGGCGGCGGAGCGGCGGGAUGCGGCAGGGCCGGGCCGCAGGGCUGGCGGGGCUGGCCGCGGUGCUCCUGGUGGCUGCAGGCAGAGCCCAGGUGCAGCAGGAGCCGUGGGCAGAGACCAGGGAUGGCACCGGCAUCAACAUCACCUGCUCACACCCCAACAUCCAGUCAAACGAGUACAUCUAUUGGUACCGUCAGCUCCCAGGCCGACGACCUGCAUUCGUCGUGCUCGGUACUAAAGGCUCCAAAGCACUGACGGACCUGGCGGGGUGGCUCGCGGUGGCAGCAGACCACCAGUCCAGCGCCCUGUGGCUCGCCCAGCCCCGGCUUCGGGACGGGGCGGUGUAUUACUGCGCCCUGAGAGCCACGGGGAGAGGAGCCCGGGCUGCGGCCGGGCAGGAACCGUGGCGGGCGGGGCCGGGCGUGUGUGGCGGGGGCGAGGCAGGGGCACAGCCCCCAGGGGGCGCUGCCGCUCUGCCCGCGGGGGCCGCCUUACCGCUCGCAGGCCCGGGGGUUCUCCCGCGCGCCAGGCCCUUGCCCGGCGCCUCUGAGGCCCUUCAGUUCUUCCGGGUCGGACCCAGCUGGGUGUGAGGGGGCAGGACGGCACACCCAGCAACGUUGAUGUUAGGCAAGGGAAGGGGCACGCCUGACUGCAUGAGCUGUGUGUAGCACCCGAGAGACCUCCACAUAGUUCUGCACCCACUGCUUCUUUCAAGUCACAAACACAUUGCAGAGAGAGGCCUGCAAAUUGACAGGUGUUGAAAAUCGGCACGGGGAUCAGAGCUCAUCUUCAGGGUGCUCCCAGACAUGCAGAGCUUCCUUCCGUCUCUUUCUGCCCUUCCCUUCUCCCCUCUGUACUCCCCUUGCUGGAGAAAGUCCUCAUCCUGACAGCCAGCUGUAUGCUUGGAAGUCUCUUUCCUUGAUGCCUGCGACUGAUGCCUGUGUCUGCUCUACCACCUCCUCCAUUCCCUGCCUGCACCUGCCUGCUCCACUGUGUCUGGCCCCAAAGCCCUCUCAGGACACCUGAAGCCUCCGGCUCUCAGGGAUGCCUGAAGGAACAACCCCGCAUGCACUGCAGACUGCCGCUGUCCGUGCCAAGCCUUCCAGGCUGUGUCAGGUUCCUGCCAACAGAUGACCAAAUAGACCUCAAGGAGCCACUGACUGGAAUGUUUUGCUUCUUUGCCUCAUGAUCCCUGAGGGCUCAUCUUCCAUACCAGAAGCCACUUUUGCAGAAGCUCUUCUCCUGUAAAUAAAAACAAUACAUUAACGCCAUCACCACCAAACUGUUCUCCUUCCUUCAGACCCAAUCUCAACUGCUUCAUGGCCACUUUGAUCCACUUUUGUCCUUUCUUCACCUUUAGCUUUGGGAAAUCUUUUUGUUCUAUGUGUGCCCCUCUUCUUCCCUGGUGUUUCCCCCACUGCUACAGGGUGUCUCCCAAGUCCUGUUCCUCUUCCUCUCAGCCUCUGACCUCUUCUUGAUGAGGAUGUUGAGU